rnacentral:rRNA from 1 species
UACGAAGGGGGCUAGCGUUGCUCGGAAUCACUGGGCGUAAAGCGCACGUAGGCGGACUCUUAAGUCGGUGGUGAAAUCCUGGAGCUCAACUCCAGAACUGCCUUCGAUACUGAGAGUCUCGAGUCGGGAGAGGUGAGUGGAACUGCGAGUGUAGAGGUGAAAUUCGUAGAUAUUCGCAAGAACACCAGUGGCGAAGGCGGCUCACUGGCCCGGUACUGACGCUGAGGUGCGAAAAGCGUGGGGAGCAAACAGGAUAGAUACCCGUCGUAUCAGACCAAGUCCAGUGCCUGCCUAAUCACGAACGCCAUUGACACGAAG